AUGAGUUGAGAAUGGCUAGAUGUGCAAAGGAAUUUGACCAGCAGGAAGAAGCAGAUGUUGGUGCAAGUGUAUCCCUUGACCAGGGGGUCAUGGCAGCUGGCAUCCAAUGGGGAAAAGCGAGAUGAGUUGGCCGGUCUGGUCCAAAAUAUUCUCCGUUCUCAAACAACCAGAGACCACCACUUGGACCAAGAGUUCUACUGCCAGGGACAAAGGUACUGCUUGUGUUUUUACCU